CAGCAUAACACUUCGGUGUUGAUGGCGACCGGCGCACGGGUGCGUAACACGUAUAGAACCUACCCAUAACAGGGGGAUAGCCCAGAGAAAUUUGGAUUAAUACCCCAUAGUGUAUUAAUGAGGCAUCUCAUUUUUAUUAAAGAUUUAUCGGUUAUGGAUGGCUAUGCGUCCUAUUAGUUUGUUGGUGAGGUAAUGGCUCACCAAGGCUACGAUAGGUAGGGGUUCUGAGAGGAAUGUCCCCCACACUGGUACUGAGACACGGACCAGACUCCUACGGGAGGCAGCAGUGAGGAAUAUUGGACAAUGGGCGCAAGCCUGAUCCAGCCAUGCCGCGUGCAGGAAGAAGGCUUUCUAGUUGUAAACUGCUUUUAUUCACGAGGAAUAUGUCCCUUGCGAGGGAUUUUGACGUUAGUAUUUGAAUAAGCACCGGCUAACUCCGUGCCAGCAGCCGCGGUAAUACGGAGGGUGCAAGCGUUAUCCGGAAUCAUUGGGUUUAAAGGGUUCGUACGCGGACUG
rnacentral:rRNA from 1 species